rnacentral:tRNA from 1 species
GCCCUGGUGGUGAAAUUGGCAGACACGCAGGACUUAAAAUCCUGUAACCGAUGAGGUUGUACCGGUUCAAGUCCGGUCCGGGGUACAA